rnacentral:rRNA from 1 species
AGUGAACGCUGGCGGUAGGCCUAACACAUGCAAGUCGAACGGCAGCACAGUAAGAGCUUGCUCUUACGGGUGGCGAGUGGCGGACGGGUGAGGAAUACAUCGGAAUCUACUUUUUCGUGGGGGAUAACGUAGGGAGACUUACGCUAAUACCGCAUACGACCUACGGGUGAAAGCAGGGGAUCUUCGGACCUUGCGCGAUUGAAUGAGCCGAUGUCGGAUUAGCUAGUUGGCGGGGUAAAGGCCCACCAAGGCGACGAUCCGUAGCUGGUCUGAGAGGAUGAUCAGCCACACUGGAACUGAGACACGGUCCAGACUCCUACGGGAGGCAGCAGUGGGGAAUAUUGAACAAUGGGCGCAAGCCUGAUCCAGCCAUACCGCGUGGGUGAAGAAGGCCUUCGGGUUGUAAAGCCCUUUUGUUGGGAAAGAAAAGCAGCAGGUUAAUACCCCGCUGUUCUGACGGUACCCAAAGAAUAAGCACCGGCUAACUUCGUG